CCCCUCAUCCGGUGCCCCGAGUUAGUAGGAAUGUCUUACCCCGUUUCCAGGAAUAAACCCGUCUUCAUGCAAGUGUGAAUUCGUUUGCCUAUGCCCAGGCAAAUCAUCGGAUCAUAAAAUCCUCUCAACAAUCAACAUAAUUGGAUAAUGAACCCCUUCAACAAUCAAGAUAAUUGGGUAAGAACCCCUUCAACAAUCAACAUAAUUGGAUAAUGAAACACAAAGCUUCAUAAAAACCUUAUAAUUUAAUCAAUAUAAACAAGACACACAACUAAGUAUUACAUGACAACUAACCACACUCAUUAUACCACAUAAAUUACACAUGUAUAAUCCUUACAUUUACAUAUACAAUUAAUAAUCUAUAUAUACACACACAUUCAAAUAGUGCACUCUAAUUACAAUAGGAAUAUAAGUGUGCACUCAUCAUCACACAUAUGUUUAUAGAUUUUAUGCAUUUGGCACUUGCAUAUAGAAUUCUAGAAGACAUAAUAUAAAUAUAUUGUAGUUAGGAUUACACCAUACAGCAAACAAACACACACACAUAUAUAUAUAUAUAUAAAUAUAUAUAUAUAUAUAUAUAAUAAUAAUUUAACUGUACAUAUAUACAAUUAAUUAAUAAUAUUGAAAAUGAAGCACAACUAUCACCAUCACCAAUUGUUUCAUCUUUCAAUGAUGUAUAUUUAGUAUAUGAUAACAUUUAGAGAGUUGUUAUUUGCGUUAUGUUAUUAUGAAUCUUUUAUUCCUAACUUUCAUUCAACAAACACAAUAAAGGAAAACACUUUUCCUUAGAUCAAUUCAUGAUUCAGUACGAAUGAAUUCAAGCAUGAAGAUGAUAAGAAAUUAAUUGAACAAUGACAAUAAUAUCAAUCUACAAAGUCUCUAAUAAUUUCUUCAUGGAGUUUGAUUGGGUUCUAGUGUUACCUAUGAUUGAUGCAUAAAUCUUUAUCUUCUUCCUUGGUUUCUUCUCAUCUCCUCCUUUCUCUUUUCCUCCUUUCUCUUUUCCUCUUUUCCUCCUUUCCUCUUUUCCUCCUUUCCUUUCCUUUCCUUUCCUUUCCUUUCCUUUCCUCGUUGCUAGUGGCUGCUAGGUCUAGGUUUCAGUUUUGUGGUUGGAG
rnacentral:lncRNA from 1 species